rnacentral:rRNA from 1 species
UACGUAGGGGGCAAGCGUUAUCCGGAUUUACUGGGUGUAAAGGGAGCGUAGACGGCUGUACAAGUCUGAAGUGAAAGCCCGUGGCUCAACCGCGGAACUGCUUUGGAAACUGUAAAGCUGGAGUACUGGAGAGGCAGGCGGAAUUCCUAGUGUAGCGGUGAAAUGCGUAGAUAUUAGGAGGAACACCAGUGGCGAAGGCGGCCUGCUGGACAGAAACUGACGCUGAGGUUCGAAAGCGUGGGUAGCAAACAGG